rnacentral:rRNA from 1 species
GGAUGAGCCCGCGGCCUAUCAGCUUGUUGGUGUGGUAAUGGCGCACCAAGGCUUUGACAGGUAGCCGGCCUGAGAGGGUGUUCGGCCACAGGGGCACCGAGAUACGGGCCCCACUCCUGCGGGAGGCAGCAGUGGGGAAUAUUGCGCAAUGGGCGGAAGCCUGACGCAGCGACGCCGCGUGGGGGAUGAAGGCCUUCGGGUUGUAAACCUCUUUUACCACUCACGAAGGCCCCUGGUUUUCCGGGGGUUGACGGUAGGUGGUGAAUAAGGACCGGCUAACUACGUGCCAGCAGCGCGGA